CCUUCCCCCUAAAAUGAAAUGGGUAAGUCUCACCCUAAACUCUCCUCUCUUUCACUCAUUGCCUCCAUUUCUUCCAGUUGUAACCGCUGAUUGAGCAUGUACGAACAUUCAUAGAAGCAGUCCGGCCUCUUAUAAGCUACCACCAUUUUCCUCCAGCUAUCGACUCUCCUCUAACCGUCUUCACACAUCCCGCUUUGUCGUCACAAUAACCGAACUCAUUGCCAGCUCGUGUUGGAUUUCUAGAUUGGGCAUCUAGGAUUUUGGCAGUAGAUUGAAUAUUUGGAACUGGAAGAUGAUUUGAAGAGGAAAAUUUCCCCAAGUGAUUGGAUUUUUGGAAUUGGGCAUCUGAGAUUUGUGAAUGUGGGAAUUUGAGAUUGUU